rnacentral:rRNA from 1 species
UUAAUAGUAAAAUCUGCUCAAUGAUAUUUAAAUAGCCGCAUUUGUGCUAAGGUAGCAUAAUAAUUUGUCCUUUAAUUGAAGACUAGAACAAAAGAUUUAACAUUUUAAUUUUUUUCUUAAAAAAACUUUUCCAACUUAUCCUAAAUGUAAAAAGACAUUUAUAAUUAAGAAAGACGACCAGACCCUAUUGAACUUAACUUUAGUUAAACUGGGGUAGUAAAUUAAUUAUAAUUUUAAUUAUAUUCAAUUUUCCAAAUAUCCAAUACAAUUAAAUAAAUCAGUUACCAUAGGGAUAACAGCGCAAUUAUUUUUUAAAGAUCUCAUUUUAAAAAUAGAUUACGACCUCGAUGUUGAAUUAAAUACCUAUUUAAAGCAAAUUUUAAUAAAGGAAGUCUGUUCGACUUAUAAUUAUUUACAUGAUUUGAGUUCAGACCGGUGUAAGCCAGGUCAGCUUCCAUCUUCUAAAGAAUUUUCUACAGUACGAAAGGACCUAUAAAUAUAAUAUGAUUAUAAUAUUGGCAGAUAAAUGCAUUAGAAUUAGAAUCUAAUAAGUCUCAU